rnacentral:lncRNA from 1 species
GUGAGCGAGGGGACACACGCAGGAGACUUGAGCUGUGUUGUUUUUAGAAAACUGCUGCCAAUCUCUCUUCCCCUUUCCCUGCUGAGUGUGCAUUUCCCAGCUUGGACCCACCGGGCCAACAAAUAAAGCCACCAGAUCGUGCACUCAGAGAAGGACUGCCCCCACUCUGCAACCCCGCCUCCCCGGCUCCCUCCCGCCUUUCCCCGGGAAGGGCUCCUCCAGCGGGUCAACGCGCGGCAAACGCCUGUCUCCUUCCUUGCUCACCAGCUGAGCGUUUUUGCCAGCCUUCCUCCAAGCAACUUAGAAGACAUGCUCUAUGUACUCUGGGGGAAAUAUCAUAUUUAAGUUCUGCCUCUGAUUUCUCUGGUCUUAGGCGGUCUGAGGCUUUUCUAGACUCCUUCGUUCCCACAUAGUACUGGGUAAAUGGAGCCCUAGCACGCUGAUUGAUAAUUGCCCACUAGUGGGUUGGGCCAGAGCAAAUUGUCCUUGCUAACAACCUCUUUCCUCUGCUGUUGGAUUCCACUAAGUGCUGAAAAGGAAAUAAGAUGAGACCCAUUGCUCCCAGGAGGCUACUUGAGCCACUAACUUCCUCAAAGUAUUUCAGAUUGAUGCAAUAUGGAGAUUCAGAUGACUCCGGCGAUUACAUGAAAAAUGGAUUACAAGUGGAUCAAGAGAAGAAGUAAAGAGACCAGAGUUCAGGAUGGACCUGAGUAUAACCAGCCUCGAAAGGCACCGCUUUUCCCUCUGGCGCCGCACGUGGAAGAACUGAGAUCCCCGGCGAGUUCCAAUCUGGCAAGGUUGUGCAGCAGUUCUGUGACAGAAUAAAAUAUGGGAAAUUGAUGUUUUGAAUUUAGGUUUGUCUUAAAGAAGAUGGAACGAAAGCGUCAUAAUAAAAUAAGGAGGGGCCCUAACAACUGAGGACAUCAAUUUGAAGAAAAGGGUCAGAGGAAACAGGUUUUAUCAUUGGGGCCAGGGAUGGCUUCGUGGUCAAGAGGGGAGCAGCAGUGUGUGGAUGACCAUAUUCGAUGGACACUCAAGAAAAUACGAGCAGGCUAGUGAGGCCCCGACAGAGGGGUUUGGAGGAG